rnacentral:rRNA from 1 species
AAGCGGGAAGAGCUCAAAUUUAUAAUCUGGCACCUUCGGUGUCCGAGUUGUAAUCUCUAGAAGUGUUUUCCGCGUUGGACCGCACACAAGUCUGUUGGAAUACAGCGGCAUAGUGGUGAGACCCCCGUAUAUGGUGCGGACGCCCAACGCUUUGUGAUACACUUUCGAAGAGUCGAGUUGUUUGGGAAUGCAGCUCAAAUUGGGUGGUAAAUUCCAUCUAAAGCUAAAUAUUGGCGAGAGACCGAUAGCGAACAAGUACCGUGAGGGAAAGAUGAAAAGCACUUUGGAAAGAGAGUUAACAGUACGUGAAAUUGUUGGAAGGGAAACGCUUGAAGUCAGACUUGCUUGCCGAGCAAUCGGUUUGCAGGCCAGCAUCAGUUUUCCGGGGUGGAUAAUGGUAGAGAGAAGGUAGCAGUUUCGGCUGUGUUAUAGCUCUCUGCUGGAUACACCUUGGGGGACUGAGGAACGCAGUGUGCCUUACGGCGGAUUUCUCGAGAUCUUCACACUUAGGAUGCUGGUGGAAUGGCUUUAAACGACCCGUCUUGAAACACG